rnacentral:rRNA from 1 species
UAACACAUGCAAGUCGAGGGGAAACGACAUCGAAAGCUUGCUUUUGAUGGGCGUCGACCGGCGCACGGGUGAGUAACGCGUAUCCAACCUGCCCACCACUUGGGGAUAACCUUGCGAAAGUAAGACUAAUACCCAAUGAUAUCUCUAGAAGACAUCUGAAAGAGAUUAAAGAUUUACCGGUGAUGGAUGGGGAUGCGUCUGAUUAGCUUGUUGGCGGGGUAACGGCCCACCAAGGCAACGAUCAGUAGGGGUUCUGAGAGGAAGGUCCCCCACAUUGGAACUGAGACACGGUCCAAACUCCUACGGGAGGCAGCAGUGAGGAAUAUUGGUCAAUGGACGAGAGUCUGAACCAGCCAAGUAGCGUGCAGGACGACGGCCCUAUGGGUUGUAAACUGCUUUUAUAAGGGAAUAAAGUGAGUCUCGUGAGACUUUUUGCAUGUACCUUAUGAAUAAGGACCGGCUAAUUCCGUGCCAGCAGCCGCGGUAAUACGGAAGGUCCGGGCGUUAUCCGGAUUUAUUGGGUUUAAAGGGAGCGUAGGCCGGAGAUUAAGCGUGUUGUGAAAUGUAGAUGCUCAACAUCUGCACUGCAGCGCGAACUGGUUUCCUUGAGUACGCACAAAGUGGGCGGAAUUCGUGGUGUAGCGGUGAAAUGCUUAGAUAUCACGAAGAACUCCGAUUGCGAAGGCAGCUCACUGGAGCGCAACUGACGCUGAAGCUCGAAAGUGCGGGUAUCGAACAGG